UUGGGACAUCAACACUUGUUUGCCCAAACCCUAAGAAAGGAAAUAAAGAUUUGCUAGAAGGGACUGUUCUACAGUCUGUAAAUAACAUGUUGAUAUGGAGGCUCAGAUGAGAACGACAUUGAAGUUCUUAAUUUUCUUCAAGCCCGGGGUUACUGGUUCUUCCAGAAAAAGGCACAAAUUUCAUAGGAACAAGUUCAAUACAUGGAAUAUAUUGUAACCCCUGGAAAUACACAGCUGUCCCAAGAGAGAAGAGCUAUAUUAGGCUUGAGUGCCCCUAAAGAUGUUUUUUUGUACUUACAAAAUUUGCCCUCACGAAAGCUCCUCUCU
rnacentral:lncRNA from 1 species